rnacentral:rRNA from 1 species
GGCGGCAGGCCUAAUACAUGCAAGUCGAACGCGCCGUCUUCGAAAGAGGGCGGCGAGUGGCGGACGGGUGAGUAACACGUGGGAACAUGCCCUUCGGUACGGAACAACUCAGGGAAACUUGAGCUAAUGCCGUAUGCGCCGGCAACGGGAAAGAUUUAUCGCCGAGGGAUUGGCCCGCGUCCGAUUAGCUAGUUGGUGAGGUAACGGCCCACCAAGGCACCGAUCGGUAGCUGGUUUGAGAGAACGACCAGCCACACUGGGACUGAGACACGGCCCAGACUCCUACGGGAGGCAGCAGUAGGGAAUCUUGGACAAUGGGGGAAACCCUGAUCCAGCCAUGCCGCGUGAGUGAUGAAGGCCUUCGGGUUGUAAAACUCUUUCGGCGGGGACGAUAAUGACGGUACCCGCAGAAGAAGCUCCGGCUAACUUCGUGCCAGCAGCCGCGGUAAUACGAAGGGGGCUAGCGUUGUUCGGAAUUACUGGGCGUAAAGCGCGCGCAGGCGGCCUUUCAAGUCA